AACCUAGCACACCUGCGGUGUGUACCUGCGGAAGGAUCAUUACCGAGUUUACAACUCCCAAACCCCUGUGAACAUACCUAUACGUUGCCUCGGCGGAUCAGCCCGCGCCCCGUAAAAAGGGACGGCCCGCCCGAGGACCCUAAACUCUGUUUUUAGUGGAACUUCUGAGUAAAACAAACAAAUAAAUCAAAACUUUUAACAACGGAUCU
rnacentral:misc_RNA from 1 species